CACGUAGGGCGCAAGCGUUGUCCGGAAUUAUUGGGCGUAAAGAGCUCGUAGGCGGUCUGUUACGUCUGCUGUGAAAACCCUGGGCUUAACCCUGGGCUUGCAGUGGAUACGGGCAGACUAGAGGCAGGUAGGGGAGAAUGGAAUUCCCGGUGUAGCGGUGAAAUGCGCAGAUAUCAGGAGGAACACCGGUGGCGAAGGCGGAUCUCUGGGCCUUACCUGACGCUCAGGCGCGAAAGCUAGGGGAGCGAACUGG
rnacentral:rRNA from 1 species